ensembl:lincRNA
GGGACACGCUGGGAAGAUGGAUCUUCAUCGCCCUUCCUAAUUCUAUGCAUCAUCAACACCAGGGCACGGUGGACGCCUUUCCCGGCAGUUCGUCUCAGCACCACAGCCUGGGUGCCUGCAUCACCUGCACCUUGCAUACAGAAGCUAACACCAGGCUGUAUCAAUUCCGGAGCCCAAGAGAGAAACAGGAUGUCCCAUGUGAUUUCUGCUACUUCAGAGUGGGGUCUUCCAGGAAUCUUUGUGAUAUGGCUUGGCUAUGUCCCCACCCAAAUCUCAUCUUGAGUUGUAAUUCCCACAAUUCCCACGUGUCAUGGGAGGAUCCCGGUGGGAGGUAAUUGAAUUACGGGGAGGGGGAGUCUUUCCUGCACUGUUCUCGUGAUAGUGAAUGAGUCUUGCAAGAACCGAUGGUUUUAAAAAUGGGAGUUUCCCCGCACACGCUCUUUUUGCCUGCUGCCAUCCACAUAAGAUGUGACUUGCUCCUCCUUGCCUUCCAUCACGAUUGUGAGGCCUCCCUAGCCAUGUGGAACUGUAGGUCCAAUAAACCUUUUUCUUUCGUAAAUUGCCCAGUCUUGGGUGUGUCUUUAUCAGCAGUGUGAAAACGGACUAAUACACUUUGGGUGAUAGGAGGAGCUGAGGGAUGUUGAGUACGUUUCCUCCAGCCCAGAG